rnacentral:rRNA from 1 species
UACGUAGGCAGCGAGCGUUGUUCGGAGUUACUGGGCGUAAAGAGUGCGUAGGCGGUUUUCUAAGUUUGGUGUGAAAUCUCCCGGCUCAACUGGGAGGGUGCGCCGAAGACUGGAAGGCUUGAGUAUGGGAGAGGUAAGCGGAAUUCCUGGUGUAGCGGUGAAAUGCGUAGAUAUCAGGAGGAACCCCAGAGGCGAAGGCGGCCCCCUGGCUCGUACCUGACGCUCAGCCACGAAAGCAUGGGGAGCGAACGGG